rnacentral:tRNA from 1 species
UCUCUGAUGGUCUUAGUGGCUAGGAUUCAGUGCUCUCACCGCUGCGGCCUGGGUUCGAUUCCCGGUCAGGGAC